UACGUAGGUGGCAAGCGUUGUCCGGAAUUAUUGGGCGUAAAGCGCGCGCAGGCGGUCCUUUAAGUCUGAUGUGAAAGCCCACGGCUCAACCGUGGAGGGUCAUUGGAAACUGGGGGACUUGAGUGCAGGAGAGAAGAGUGGAAUUCCACGUGUAGCGGUGAAAUGCGUAGAGAUGUGGAGGAACACCAGUGGCGAAGGCGACUCUUUGGCCUGUAACUGACGCUGAGGCGCGAAGGCCAGGGAGCAAACGGG
rnacentral:rRNA from 1 species